rnacentral:misc_RNA from 1 species
AUAUUGAACAGAACUAAACAGCUAGAAACGGUUCAAGGAAAUAUUGCGUAAAUGUAAACAAUGUCGUUCAGAAGUUUCUAUCGGAAAAUAUUUAUGAAGUUUAAUAGCUUAAAUAAGCAUGAUUUUUCCCGAAAAGCAUUUUAUUUUUCUGAAGUUAAUAAAGAUAGAAUCUGUUACCUCGGAGCUACUUUGGGUGCUGGUGUAACUUUGUUAAUAUUUAGCGAUAAACUUCAGAAAUUUGGUGCUAAAAGAGAUAUAGCAUUAGUUCGUGCCAAUCAACAAACAAAACCUUCUAAAGAUGAAGAUGUGCAAAUGUCUCAGUUAACCCAGAGAGAGAGAAGAUAUAUAAAAUUUGCAUCUGUUGAAUAUGAUGGGCAGCUUUAUAUGACACCUCAAGAUUUCUUAGAUUCGGUAACCGAUUCUGAUCCUCGACCUCGACUGAAACGUAAAGUGCUCUCUAAAAAGGAACUUCAUUCAUUAUAUGAUACUACUCCUCAUAGACGAAAAGGGUCUACUAGUUUGUUUCGAUCUUUGCAUGACAGAGGCAUCAUAUCAUAUACUGAAUACCUCUUUCUUCUUUCAGUACUGACAAAACCUCAAUCUGGCUUUCGUAUUGCUUUUAAUAUGUUUGAUACUGAUGGUAACCAAAGAGUUGACAAAAAAGAAUUUCUAGUGGUUCUGCAUCUUUUAGUUAAAUCAUUUUUUAAAAAAACUGCUGAAAAUCUAGGACUUUAUUCUGGUGUAUCUCCUAAUGUUCUGGAGAAAAUUUUUAGCACAGUUGCAAGAAAAGGAAAUAUGUUACGAAGAAAAGAUCGAUCUGGUAGCGAUGAUGAUGCAGAUUUUGAUACUGUGGAUACAACUUUAUUGAUUCAUUUGUUUGGAAAAAAAGGAAAUGAAGACCUCAGUUAUGAUGAUUUUUAUAGGUUUAUGGACAACCUUCAAACUGAGGUACUUGAAUUAGAAUUUACUGAGUUUUCCAGAGGAAUGCCUACUAUUUCUGAAGUUGAUUUUGCACGAAUUUUGCUACGCUAUACUCUUGUGCACAGUAGUGAUUAUGAAGCUUAUAUUGAACGUGUUCAUGAGCGUAUUCCUGAUGAAAAGGGUAUUUCUUUUUCCCAAUUUAAAGCAUUUUGUCAGUUUUUGAACAACUUAGAUGAUUUCUCUAUUGCCAUGAGGAUGUUUACUUUUGCAAAUAGGCCUAUAUCUCAAGAGGAAUUUCAUCGUGCUGUUGCCAUAUGUACUGGACAUAGUCUGGAUGCAAAUUUAGUAAAUGCUGUAUUUCAAAUCUUUGAUGAAGAUGGUGAUGGACAACUGUCUUAUAAAGAAUUCAUAGCAAUAAUGAGAGACAGGCUGCAUAGAGGUUUCAAGUCUCAUUUGGUAAAGACUGAAGGUUGGGAAGCAUUUAAAUCAUGCAUAAAGACUGAGAUGAGAAAUUAAGUGGAAGACUUGGAUUACAGAAGUAUAGAUGAAUGGUUUUUUAGGGAAAAUAAAUUUCACUUCUGCCUGCAAUCAAGUGUCCAAUUUUUACUUUCUUUAAAGACCAUUCUUUCUGAUGAAAUUGUAAGCAUUUUCAAAUACUAGAUGAUGAACUCCUAAUAACGAGCUAAAAUGCUAGCCUUCAAUAACACUGUAUGUACUUGGAAGUUCAUUUGCUACUUCUCAAAAACAAUUCCACAUUUUAAUUGGAAAACGGGCGUAGGCAUUGCCCAGUUUUUUUAGACCUACCAAUCUUUAUUUUCUUCGAGAUCUGAUACAGAUGCUGAAAAACGUUUUGUAAAUACAUCACUAUCUGAAAUAAAUUUGAAUCACAGCUGAAUGCAAUCUCAAUCACAUCUACUGAUACAAAUGCAAAUGCAGCUAACUUUCUUUAUUCCGAUGUAUAAUCCAGGUCAUUUGUGUAUCUGUUUGACAUUAUAAAAGAUCACAAGAUCAUGUAUAAUAAUAAAAGGCUUUUCCUAUAAAAUCUGCAGAAUAUAUAUGAUUUUAAUAAUAAAAGUUUUUUUUUCCAAGUAUUUGGUUGGAUCCACACAAGAUUUUGUUAUUUUGGCUAUAAAAUUUCGUCUCAACACCUAUAGUUUGUGACAAUGCUAAUUCACUAUAUUGAGGGUGCUGUGAAUGCACCAUUUUAGCACUCUUUCCACUCCUAAUAUCCACCACAGAACUGACAAACGACCUGCUUUUGCUCUGUUGUUGGGGUAACUGCUUCUUCUAGAACUUACUUUUUUGUAAAAGACUUUUUGUAAUGGCUUGCUUUGCAUUUAUUUUUUUCUGAAAUCAUGUCCUAACUAAUCAACAACUCACCACAGUUAUAAAUCCUGAUUUUGUUCUGCCCACUCAGUAAAGCCCUCCAGCAUCUUAAAAAUGAGUUCCAGGUUGUUUGGUGCUGGUCUUGUUCUGUUCUAUCUCUACCUAACAUUUGCCGCAGCAGUUUUGUCAUACCCUAUUUUACAAUAAUAAAUAUUUAACUAACAAAACAAUACCUUUUUAUACAUAGAUUGGCCAUUCUAUUCUAAAUUGAUAUGUGACCCAUCCUGCAUCAAUUUUAUUUUGGUUAAGUUAAGAUUGGUGGUAUACAAAUUCUUAAACUGCUAAUUGCAUUUUUACAAAGAAAGCACUUAAAACAUGAUUUUUUGCUUGUGUGAUACAGAUAAAAAAAUGUCAUUAUUUAUUAAUCUUAAAAGGCUGUUGAGCUUCUCUUAUGAUCAAUAUAAUAAAAUAACACUCUUUUGACUCAAUUUCCUGUACUCAGCUUUUGUUUUAUUGCAGACUGUUGCAAAUGCUAUAAAUAAAGAAUUGCAUUGCUAAAAUUCACUUAAAAAAUGCUAAAAAUUGAUAAAUUAGUAUAAAGUAUAUUUGGAAAAAAAUGUAUGCUUGAUAUUUUUUAAUUUUUUUAUGAUAGAAUGCUAUUUUUGCUUCGUACUAUGUCUUUGUUUAUGCUUAUAAAAUCUGCCUAGGUUACCUUAAUGACAUUUAACUUUUUCUUCCAUAUUUAUUUAUUAUUUUUAUUUUAGUAAAUUUAAACUGUACUGUUCAAAACAGAAGUUACGUAACUUACACCUAUUUUAUAUUGGAUGUCAUUUAAUCAUUUAUUGAACUUCAAAACCCAAACUAGUUAAGUGUUGAUUGAUGAGCAUUGAAAGUAGCUAAUGUAGUUCAUACAAAAAAUGAGUAGAAAAAUAUCGUUGAAAUUCUUUGUGCACAAUUAAAUGUUUACUUUUCAAUCCUAUGUUCUAAAAUCAAAUGUUUAUGUUAUGUUAGUAGGUUAUUUAUAUUUAUGUAAAAACACAUGUAUAUAGAUUUUGUAAAUUAUUUAUUACUCUCAUUGUUCAUGAAAUGGAAUAAGUGUGAAAUCUAAAUUCUUUUUCAGUUAUAACCUUCUUUUUCAUGUUAUAAACUAAUAAAAAUUAAAUAUAUCAUAUA